UGAGGCCUCCCCAGCCAUGUUUCCUGUACAGCCUGUGGAACCAUGUGCCAGUUAAACCUCUUUUCUUUGUAAAUUACCCAGUCUCAGGUAGUUCUUUAUAGCAAUGCGAGCAUGGACUAACACAGGUUGGAGGCGUGCAUUCCUUCUGGAGGCUUCAGGGAAGAAUUGUAUCUUGGGCUUGUCCAGCUCAUGGAAGCCGCCUGCAUUCCUUGGCUCAUAGCCCUGCAUCUCUCCAAUUUCAGUUUCUGUUGUCACACCUCCCUCUCUGACUAUGACUCCCCUUCCUCCCUCUUUUUCCCUUACAAGGACUGUUGUGAUCAUACGAAGCCCACAUGGAUAAGCCAGGAUCAUCUCCAUAUCUCAAAAUACUUCAUCCUUUGAGUCUCUUUGGCCGUGUAAUGUAGCAUAUUCACAGGUUUCAGGGAAUAGGAGAUGACAUCUUUGGGAGCCAUUAUUUUUCCUACACAGGAGGUGAGGGAAGGCCUGUCUCUGGAGGUGGCACUUGAGAGGAGACCCAAAUAACAAAAACAGAUGAAGGGGGCAGACUGCAAAGAUCCUAGGCCUGGCACAAGCCUGGAGAUUCUGAGGAAAAUGCCAGCAUGAUUGAAGUGAGCAGCCGGGGAGGCCGGAGGGGUAGACUAGAGCCGGAGGCAGGACCCUGGUCCCUCAGCAUUGCAAGGGCCAGAGAAGGAGGGUGGAUUUCAUUCUGAGCACAUUAGAACAUGGGCAGAGGGCUGGGGAGUUGUGUUUUCACUGGACUAACUUGUACGUGAAUUAAGACAACUUCCCUGGCUGUUGUCUAGACCAGUGCCGUCUGGUAGAAAUACAGUCUAAUCACAUUUGUCAGUUUAAAUAGUCCCCACCUGUGG